AUGUAGUUCAGGCUGGCCUUGAACUAACAGCAGUCCUCCUAUCUCAGUCUCACAAGUGCUGGGAUUAUAGGCAUGGGACACCAAGCCUGGCCAAAAUAAAAUAUUUUUUAAAGGGUGGGAAUACACCUUAGUGGUAGAGCACCGCUAGGUUCAGUCCUCAGUGUCUGGGGGCCAGGAUAAAUAAGUCAGCACCAGCUGGUGGCCAGUGCUAAUAGAGGUAAAGUCAGGUGGCAUCACCCUGCCUGCAGCACAGGAACUCAACUGGUGACCUUUGUUAAAAGAAAAAGACCUGGGCUGGGGAUGUGGCUCAAUGAUAACACCAUAAAAAGGAAAAGAAAAAUCAUAGGCAAAUUGAGUUUUAAAAAGUUUAUUUGAGCAAAGAAAACAAUUCUCAAAUCAGGGCACCCUCAGAACCAAACAGGUUCUAAGAACUGGAGCUAGCAAAUUAGGCAGCACUUAAUUUGCCUAAUUAAGAAGACCGGAGUGAGGUAUAGAGACAGUGCAAGUGGUGGCAGCUUAAUUAAUCUGUCAGCUGGUUACAGAGCCCACGAGUGCCUGCUGCUCGUGCUGUGAUUGAACUCCAUGCUGACCAGACCUGCUGGGCUAGUGCAGGAACUCGCUCCAAACCAAGGCUGCCUACGCUUUUCUUUAACACCUCUGACCUGAGACUGCAUUUGUGAGAAGGUGCCUUUGUGGGACUGGGGUAACAGCUGCUGCUAUUGUAGCCAGCUAAGUUAAUUAGAUAUUUAUAGGCAGUUAGACAGGGCUGGGCCUCUAGAGUGUCAAUACAAACGACAACUGAGGCACAUUUACUAAAGGCCAGGAUUCAAAAAAGAGGACCAUUACACUCACAUCCCCUAGGGAUAAACAGCAGUGAUUGAUAUUCUAAAUAGGCAUCAAUCACCUUGGGUGGGCUCAAAACCAUUCCUUCCCGGAAAUCUUGGCUACAUGACUUGCUCUCUCAUUUGAUCCCCAUUUAAUCAAUAUUACCAGUUAUGGCUUGUGUUUAGAUGUCCCCCCAAAGCCUCAUGCGAAUGAGGUGGGGCUAUUUUAUAUAUGUGCUGCUGAAAUGAGCACAAGGUGAGGCUAUUUGGGAGGUGGCUGAAUCUAGAGUGUAAGAUGUCUGAAUUAGGGGUGUGUGAUUACUAAACCACUACACAUGAGCGAUAGGUUUGGCACCACCCAAUCCCAGUGGUCUGAAUAAAAUAAAAGGAGCAGGAAGACGCCAUCAAGCUCUCUUGUGGCCUUUGCUAACUUCCACCGCUGUGAACUGUUGCCCCUCUGCCAUGUGCACCCUGCUUGGAGCCAGUCGAUUAUGGACUGAAAACUCUACAAACUGUGAGCUAAAUAAACCUUUCCCCCUUUAACUCUGGGUGUCAGGUAUUUUGUCUCAACAAUGAGAGAAAAGUAAUACAUUACCUAAGUAACUAUAUACUUAUAAUUUUAUUGGUUGACCAUAGUUUUGUCCCACCUCAUACCCAUUUUGUGAUUUUCCACUGGAUCUUAUUAAUUGACUGUAGUUUUGUCCCACUUUGUACCUGCCUCGUUUCAUGGCUUUGUCCCAUGACAGUACCCUAAGAAGUGGGGUCCUGGGCAACCCACUUUCUGGGUGUCCUCUCCUGUCCCUCUCAGGCGGGAGCUGUCUUCCCCUCAAUAAAUAUUCCCUACUCUUAAACUCCAUGGUUCCUAGAAUUCAUUCUUUAAUUUUAGAGAACACGAAUUAGGCAUUUUGGAUCUAACAGAGAGAGUUGUAAUAUUUUCCUUACAUUAUUUAAUUAGAGGUCCUAUAUCAUCCCUAGAUCGUACACCCUAUAUCAUUUGGAGGUCUUUCACUGAGAUAAUUGGAAGGAGGCUCUCCAAAGUGGCAAUAAUUCACUGUUGAGGACACCAAAAAGGAGCUGACAAAGUAUCUCAAGAACCAACUUGGGAAGGACCAUACACCAUGAUCCUGUCGCCUCCAUCAGCAGUUAAUGUAGCAGGCCUGGACUCCUGGAUACAUCACAACCAACUCAUUGCAGAGUGUGAGCUAACACCCAAAUACUCUUUUGAACUCAUAGAAGACUUAAAAUUCUUGUUCAAAUAGAAAA